GCCAGGCUAGCUCAGUUGGUAGAGCAUGCAACUCUUGAUCUCAGGAUUGUAGGUUUGAGCCUCAUGCUGGGUG